rnacentral:rRNA from 1 species
AUUGAACGCUGGCGGCAUGCCUUACACAUGCAAGUCGAACGGUAACAGGUCUUCGGAUGCUGACGAGUGGCGAACGGGUGAGUAAUACAUCGGAACGUGCCUAGUAGUGGGGGAUAACUACUCGAAAGAGUGGCUAAUACCGCAUGAGAUCUACGGAUGAAAGCAGGGGAACGCAAGACCUUGUGCUACUAGAGCGGCCGAUGGCAGAUUAGGUAGUUGGUGGGAUAAAAGCUUACCAAGCCGACGAUCUGUAGCUGGUCUGAGAGGACGAUCAGCCACACUGGGACUGAGAAACGGCCCAGACUCCUACGGGAGGCAGCAGUGGGGAAUUUUGGACAAUGGGCGCAAGCCUGAUCCAGCAAUGCCGCGUGCAGGAUGGAGGCCUUCGGGUUGUAAACUGCUUUUGUACGGAACGAAAAGCCCCGGGUUAAUACCCUGGGGUCAUGACGGUACCGUAAGAAUAAGCACCGGCUAACUACGUGCCAGCCGCCGCGGUAA